rnacentral:rRNA from 1 species
AUGAACGCUGACAGAAUGCUUAACACAUGCAAGUCAACUUGAACUUCGGUUUGGGUGGCGGACGGGUGAGUAACGCGUAAAGAACUUGCCUCACAGCUAGGGACAACAUUUGGAAACGAAUGCUAAUACCUGAUAUUAUGAUUUUAGGGCAUCCUAGAAUUAUGAAAGCUAUAUGCGCUGUGAGAGAGCUUUGCGUCCCAUUAGCUAGUUGGAGAGGUAACGGCUCACCAAGGCGAUGAUGGGUAGCCGGCCUGAGAGGGUGAACGGCCACAAGGGGACGGAGACACGGCCCUUACUCCUACGGGAGGCAGCAGUGGGGAAUAUUGGACAAUGGACCAAGAGUCUGAUCCAGCAAUUCUGUGUGCACGAUGAAGUUUUUCGGAAUGCAAAGUGCUUUCAGUUGGGAAGAAAAAAAUGACGGUACCAACAGAAGAAGUGACGGCUAAAUACGUG